AUGACGUUCAAGCGGAGGAACGGCGGGCGCAACAAGCAUGGCCGCGGCCACGUCAAGUACAUCCGCUGCUCCAACUGCGCCAAGUGCUGCCCCAAGGACAAGGCUAUCAAGCGUUUCUUGGUGAGGAACAUCGUGGAGCAGGCUGCUGUGAGAGAUGUGCAGGAGGCUUGUGUGCAUGAUGGAUAUGUGCUUCCCAAGCUGUACGCCAAGGUGCACCACUGUGUGUCUUGUGCCAUCCAUGCCCACAUUGUCCGUGUCCGCUCGCGUGAGAACAGGAGGAACCGUGAGCCCCCGCAGCGUUUCAGGCGCAGGGAUGAUGGCCCGAGGCCUGGACAGGGUGGCCCGCCCCGUGCUGGUGGACCUGGUGGCGCGCCUGCUGGCGCUGGUGCCGUUCCUGGUGCUCCUGCUCCCCGUGUCUAG
rnacentral:rRNA from 1 species